GAGAAGAACAUACAAAGUGCCUGCACCGUUGUCUCUGGUUCAUAUUGACACCAAUCAUAAACUGAUACGAUAUGGUCUGGUGAUCUUCGGAGCCAUUGACGGCUUCUCCAGAAAAGUGAUGUACUUACGGGUUGCAAACAACAACCAAGCGGCCAC